AGAGUUUGAUCCUGGCUCAGGAUGAACGCUAGCUACAGGCUUAACACAUGCAAGUCGAGGGGCAGCGGGAUUGAAGCUUGCUUCAAUUGCCGGCGACCGGCGCACGGGUGAGUAACGCGUAUCCAACCUUCCGUACACUCAGGGAUAGCCUUUCGAAAGAAAGAUUAAUACCUGAUGGUAUCUUAAGCACACAUGUAAUUAAGAUUAAAGAUUUAUCGGUGUACGAUGGGGAUGCGUUCCAUUAGGUAGUAGGCGGGGUAACGGCCCACCUAGCCAACGAUGGAUAGGGGUUCUGAGAGGAAGGUCCCCCACAUUGGAACUGAGACACGGUCCAAACUCCUACGGGAGGCAGCAGUGAGGAAUAUUGGUCAAUGGACGAGAGUCUGAACCAGCCAAGUAGCGUGCAGGAUGACGGCCCUAUGGGUUGUAAACUGCUUUUAUAAGGGAAUAAAGUGAGUCUCGUGAGACUUUUUGCAUGUACCUUAUGAAUAAGGACCGGCUAAUUCCGUGCCAGCAGCCGCGGUAAUACGGAAGGUCCGGGCGUUAUCCGGAUUUAUUGGGUUUAAAGGGAGCGUAGGCCGGAGAUUAAGCGUGUUGUGAAAUGUAGACGCUCAACGUCUGCACUGCAGCGCGAACUGGUUUCCUUGAGUACGCACAAAGUGGGCGGAAUUCGUGGUGUAGCGGUGAAAUGCUUAGAUAUCACGAAGAACUCCGAUUGCGAAGGCAGCUCACUGGAGCGCAACUGACGCUGAAGCUCGAAAGUGCGGGUAUCGAACAGGAUUAGAUACCCUGGUAGUCCGCACGGUAAACGAUGGAUGCCCGCUGUUGGUCUGAAUAGGUCAGCGGCCAAGCGAAAGCAUUAAGCAUCCCACCUGGGGAGUACGCCGGCAACGGUGAAACUCAAAGGAAUUGACGGGGGCCCGCACAAGCGGAGGAACAUGUG
rnacentral:rRNA from 1 species